CAGCCGCCGCGAUAAUACCGGCGGCCCGAGUGGCGGUCACUAUUAUUGGGCUUAAAGCGUCCGUAGCCGGGUUGGGAAGUCCUCCGGGAAAUCUGGCCGCUUAACGGUCAGAAUGCCGGAGGAUACUCCCAGCCUAGGGAGCGGGAGAGGCCGAGGGGAUUCCCGGGGUAGGGGUGAAAUCCUAUAAUCCCGGGAGGACCACCUGUGGCGAAGGCGCUCGGCUGGAACGCGGCCGACGGUGAGGGACGAAGGCCAGGGGAGCAAACCGGAUUAGAUACCCGGGUAGUCCUGGCUGUAAACGAUGCGGACUUUGUGUCGGACAAGCUAUGAGCUUGUCCGGUGCCGGAGGGAAACCGUUAAGUCCGCCGCCUGGGGAGUACGGCCGCAAGGCUGAAACUUAAAGGAAUUGGCGGG
rnacentral:rRNA from 1 species